CAGCUAUUACAACUCAGUUAGAGUUUUUGUGGCAGGUUUUUCUGACUUGGUUUGGAAAACCCAU
rnacentral:snRNA from 1 species